UACGUAGGGAGCAAGCGUUGUCCGGAUUCACUGGGUGUAAAGGGUGCGCAGGCGGGUUGGUAAGUCAGAGGUGAAAUCUCACAGCUUAACUGUGAAACUGCCUUUGAUACUUCCAAUCUUGAGUUAAAGAGAGGUUGAUGGAAUUUCAGGUGUAGCGGUGAAAUGCGUAGAUAUCUGAAAGAACACCAGUGGCGAAGGCGGUCAACUGGCUUUUAACUGACGCUCAGGCACGAAAGCGUGGGUAGCGAACAGG
rnacentral:rRNA from 1 species